GCGUAAGCGCACGCAGGCGGUCUGUCAAGUCGGAUGUGAAAUCCCCGGGCUCAACCUGGGAACUGCAUUCGAAACUGGCAGGCUAGAGUCUUGUAGAGGGGGGUAGAAUUCCAGGUGUAGCGGUGAAAUGCGUAGAGAUCUGGAGGAAUACCGGUGGCGAAGGCGGCCCCCUGGACAAAGACUGACGCUCAGGUGCGAAAGCGUGGGGAGCAAACAGGAUUAGAUACCCUGGUAGUCCACGCCGUAAACGAUGUCGACUUGGAGGUUGUGCCCUUGAGGCGUGGCUUCCGGAGCUAACGCGUUAAGUCGACCGCCUGGGGAGUACGGCCGCAAGGUUAAAACUCAAAUGAAUUGACGGGGGCCCGCACAAGCGGUGGAGCAUGUGGUUUAAUUCGAUGCAACGCGAAGAACCUUACCUACUCUUGACAUCCAGAGAACUUUCCAGAGAUGGAUUGGUGCCUUCGGGAACUCUGAGACAGGUGCUGCAUGGCUGUCGUCAGCUCGUGUUGUGAAAUGUUGGGUUAAGUCCCGCAACGAGCGCAACCCUUAUCCUUUGUUGCCAGCGGUUAGGCCGGGAACUCAAAGGAGACUGCCAGUGAUAAACUGGAGGAAGGUGGGGAUGACGUCAAGUCAUCAUGGCCC
rnacentral:rRNA from 1 species